AUAUUGGAAAUUUAUUGUUAGAACUUAUUUAUUCUGCUGUUAAUUACGAAUGUAAGAAUUUUAGAUGAUUCUAGAACUCAGGCCCGUGGAAUUCUUCAGGGCCGGCUUGCUGCGGACCCAUCUGGAUCCUGCUCUUUGUCCACACUGGAGCUCAGGGGGACCCACCAUCAUGCCAGAAGUGCAGGAUGCCGACCUGCAGGGCUUCAGCCAUCUUCCUGUCUCCUCGCACUGGACACGCCAGGAAGUCAAGUGCAGUCAGGUCAAAGGUCACCCAAGGAGACUGCUCCAUUCUUCAUGUUGGAAGGAGUGUGAAGCCAUGAAAGUGAGGUUCAGAGGCUGAUACCAAAGACUAGACUAUAUCCGGUGAUGUCACCCACACCUGUUUUUAAUAAGACUGCAGAGCACCUCGAGGCUGUGCCCGCACCUGCUGAUUAUCGCUUUUAAGCAGUCUCAAGGCCUGGGAACAGCAAAGGAAAAUCUGUCAAGGUAAUGCACCAAUGACAGACCAAGAGAAUGAUUGCGCCCAAGUCUCCGGGUCUAUCUCAGUGAAACAGAACUGUAACAUUCGAAAGAGGUAAAAAUAGAGCUCGUGUGACCGGAGCUUGAGUGGCGGUCCGACACCUGCCUGGACCUGUCCCGCGGCCUGACCCCAUUCUGAAAACCACGAUUGCACAACCCCACUCUUGAGGUUGUACUGGGAGACCGUGGCACCCUUCGCUUAAUCAGCCUGCUCGGUUGCUUCCAAUUUUGCCCGUUGUAAAUUGAUACGCUUAUUCUUCGACCACAUCCCAUAAUUAUUUCCCAAUGAGUGUUUCUGAACAUGGGGUGUGACAUCAUCCAAACUAUUAGUGUGAAUACUAAAUGCAGCUGACUCUUCCUUAGCUAAAAUUCAGCUAACCACAAUUCCCAAUUAACCAAUUUUGUUUUGCUCAAUUUUGGGAGCAUAAAGGGAACUACCUGUAUGUCACUCUUGGCUGUCUCUCUGCCUCGGUUUCUUUAUUGCACAGAGAAUUAGGAAACUGAGAUUAAUUCAACAAAAAAUAUCAGUUAGCUGUAUUCUCAAACUUACAAACCAUUACUGAGAAAAAUUAAAGAUGAAUAGAAACGGUGAAAUACACUAUA